CCUUUGGAGAGUUAGAUCAAAUCAAAGUAGUCACUCCUUGUGAUGACAAAAUGAGACUCGUUGAAUAAGGAA
rnacentral:ncRNA from 1 species